rnacentral:rRNA from 1 species
UACGUAGGGGGCUAGCGUUGUCCGGAAUCAUUGGGCGUAAAGGCGUGCGUAGGCGGUUUGUUAAGUCUGAUGUGAAAGCCCUGGGCUCCAACCUGGGAAUGGCAUUGGAUACUGGACACCUAGAAUGUGGUAGAGGGUGGCGGAAUUCCCGGUGUAGCAGUGAAAUGCGUAGAUAUCGGGAGAACAUCCGUGGCGAAGGCGGCCGACCUGGAC